CUCUCUCUCUCUCUCUCUCUCUCUCACUCACACACACACACACACACUCACUUUCUUUAUUUGCAGUAUUUAAUCAGUUCUUAUCAUGAGAUUACAGGUAAAAAAAAAAUGCUGAAGAAGAACAUUACUCUGCAUUGGGACUUGGUGGAAGCUCCAUGUGAGUACGCUUCAGGCUGCGAAGGAUGUAAAACGCCUCGGAGCCAAUGAAUAGCAAGUCCAUGACUCGAUCGUUCAUGUCGGGAGGUUUUCUGAGAGGGAUCCAGAAUCCGCUUCCGCGUUGCUGGCCAUCGUGCCAUGUGAUGUCAAGUUUCCCAAUCGGAACAAGAUGGAAUUCUCAUUUGGUGCUCAGAGAUGGAUACCAGGAGAUUCAUUAACUGAUGAUCAGAGAUCUGAUUGAGAGUGGUUAUGCACUGGGAUUGCAUGCACCUGUUCUUUUUUUUUUUUUUUUUUGAAAAAUGCUUAUUGCCAAGCGAAGCGGCUAAUAAGGUGAUUAUAGUUCAAGUUGGGGAGGAAUUUUUCACCUUAAUUCAUGGCUACUCUCAUGCACACUAAACACAUGAAAAGCAAGAAGUCGUUACCUGCAGAAGUAAAAUAGUGACUGAAUAUCUUCUUUUGCCCUCA